rnacentral:rRNA from 1 species
AUACGUAGGUGGCAAGCGUUGUCCGGAUUUACUGGGUGUAAAGGGCGCGUAGGCGGGUGAGCAAGUCAGGUGGGAAAUCCAUGGGCUUAACCCAUGAACUGCACUUGAAACUGUUUAUCUUGAGUAUCGGAGAGGCAAGCGGAAUUCCCGGUGUAGGGGUGAAAUGCGUAGAGAUCGGGAGGAACACCAGUGGCGAAGGCGGGUAACUGGACUGCAACUGACGCUGAGGCGCGAAAGUGUGGGGAGCAAACAGGAUUAGAUACCCUGGUAGUCCACACUGUAAACGAUGAAUGCUAGGUGUAAGAGGUAUCGACCCCUUUUGUGCCGGAGUUAACACAAUAAGCAUUCCGCCUGGGGAGUACGGCCGCAAGGUUGAAACUCAAAUGAAUUGACGGGG